rnacentral:sRNA from 25 species
UGUCGCUUUUGCGACCAGCCAAUGUUCCAGCAGUCUGAGAGGGACGCCUUCGGGUGACUGCCAGCCAAUGUUUCAGCAAUCUGAGAGAAACGCCUUCGGGUGAUUGCAAUAUCCUCGUAGCCUGAAAGAGGAUGCCUUUAUGGUGGUACAUC